CAGGCCUAACACAUGCAAGUCGAACGAAGGCUUCGGCCUUAGUGGCGCACGGGUGCGUAACGCGUGGGAAUCUGCCUUGGGGUUCGGAAUAACAGCGGGAAACUGCUGCUAAUACCGGAUGAUGUUUAGCGACCAAAGAUUUAUCGCCCCAAGAUGAGCCCGCGUCGGAUUAGCUAGUUGGUGGGGUAAAGGCCUACCAAGGCGACGAUCCGUAGCUGGUCUGAGAGGAUGAUCAGCCACACUGGGACUGAGACACGGUCCAGACUCCUACGGGAGGCAGCAGUGGGGAAUAUUGCACAAUGGGCGCAAGCCUGAUGCAGCCAUGCCGCGUGAGUGAUGAAGGCCUUAGGGUUGUAAAGCUCUUUUAUCCNGGGACGAUAAUGACGUAUCCGGAGGAAUAAGCCCCGGCUAACUUCGUGCCAGCAGCCGCGGUAAU
rnacentral:rRNA from 1 species